CCUAUCAAAUGUCCCGCGUCCCGAUGCAUAGCAAGAAUGUCCCGAUAUUUACACAUAGAAAAAAAGUCAUUUAUUCUGUACAGUAGAGUUAGUGAAAACCACACGCUGUGCUCUUCGUGCGGCUGACACAUCUGCUGAUCAUUAACUUACCGGUAUACAAAGCUGGGGGGCUUGUGGGCCAGCAUUGAAGGCAGCCAAUCUCCAUCCAGUGCUUCAGAGAUGAAAGCCUUUAUAAACCUGGCAGAAAACAAUGUAAGGGAGAAAGAGAACGGGAAAGUAACCAGGAGGAGGAAGCAGCACGGAGACGCAGUAUUGUUUUGUCAGGUUUCUUUCAGCUAAGUAUAAUUUUAUCAUUUGGAAUUGAAUUUGCUGAGAAACCGUGACUUUGAAGAAUGCGUUUGCUUGGUGCAAUACAGAAUAACAUAUUUGUAUUCUGUGAUGGCAAAUUUUCUGUGCAAUAUUACUGUGUGCAGUAUAUUGAUUUUGGCAAUUAUUUACUUGGAGUUGGAUUCUGGCCAAAUCCACUCGAUUUGCUUUAGUGCAACGUUUCCCAAAGUGGGGGUCGCGACCCGGUUCUGAUGGGUCGCUAAACAAUCUAAAAAUAUGACAUUCAGAGCACACUGUUAAGAUUUUGUUUCAUUAUACAACUUCUCAUGCUUAUAUUCAAAAUAAAUAUAAUUUUCAUACAAAUCAUUAGCAGUAAUUAUGUAAACAAUGUACUGUUUUAUCACCAGUCUUCUGCUUUAAAUAUGAACCGAAAAAUAAAGUAUAA